rnacentral:rRNA from 1 species
UACAGAGGGUGCGAGCGUUGUCCGGAAUCACUGGGCGUAAAGGGCGCGUAGGCGGGCGGGCAAGUCGGAGGUGAAAGCCCCCAGCUCAACUGGGGAAGUGCCCUCGAUACUGCCGGCCUGGAGGGAGGUAGGGGCGUGCGGAACUUCCGGUGGAGCGGUGAAAUGCGCAGAUAUUGGAUGGAACACCAGUGGCGAAGGCGGCUAACUGGCUCGGUAUUGACGCUGAGGCACGAAAGCGUGGGUAGCAAACAGG